CUGACGUAACCAGUCGCCUGCAUUGGCUCAGUGUCAUCAUUACGCAUAGAGAGCAAUGUGGUCUUCCUCCCUAGAGAUGGCACAACAGACUGGAGGGUGAAGAGACAUGUCAGCCAGAUCAGGGGAGCCAGCUGGCUCCUGACUCUCUGAUGAUUGUCGCAACUCAGUAGCUUGGAGCAACUUCCAUAUGGCUCCUGCCUUAGAAAAAUUUCUCCUCACUCUUCAUCCCCAUCUCUGAUCUCCAAGAGAAGAACUAGCCAUAUAUCAGAUGAGGAGGUGUUGACCAGACAGGCUGAAAUGAAGGCUAGAUUGAACUACGCUCUGCUGUCUCCUUGCCCUUCUGGGACUUUCUCAGCCUCCACAUUCUGAUCUGGAAAACAAAAGAGAGACAGGUAUAGAAUCAGGAGCUCAAUAUUUCUUGCAGAGGAGAGUUAUGCCAAUUUCCAGGGUGAGAAGAACCAGGCCCUGGGUUCCUACGUAUCACUCACACCAGACUGCGGCUCCCAUCCUCAUUACUGUCCCAGACAGCUCAGCUCUUGAAAAGCAUAGCUAGCAAAACCAAAGUGGACCAGUGGGUCAGCCCCACUGGCAAAGCAGUUCCAGCAUGACUUUGUUUUACGUAAGCUUCAUUGUUUCUGAUAUCUCCCCACCACCUUCACUGAAAGUGAUUCAUCAAAGUAUUUCAUAGACAAAGGAAAUUGCAAUCUGGUUGUGUUCAUCAGGUAGAGGAGGAAAUCUGCAAAGACCGAAGGACCGGAAAAAUGAAAGAUGCCAAAGAGAGAAGCCUUGGGGAGCCUUGGGCACUGACCUCCUGGAUCUGAGUCACCUCUGUAGGAGAGCUGCCCCAGUGAGCUUCCUGACCAGGAAGAUAUGCAAUGGCCUUCAUGUGAACAGAAAACAAAACAAAACGAUUUCUACUGGAUUGAGGUAUUAAAAACUGGAGGAUUGUUUCAUUAACUACUCUUACUUAUGUGGCAACAUUAAAGGGAAAGACCAAGAAAAAUCUGAGGACAUAUUGCGCUCAUUGAUUAGAGAAAGGAUGAAGUAAAGACAAACAAACACCAAAGAAGAAGAAAGAGUUCAUGUACAUUAAAAAGUAUUGCUUACAUGAAAAUUUCCAGAGAAAAACUGGAAAAAUAUAGAUAUAGACCCCAAACAAGCAAACACCCCUAAACAGGUGCAUAACAUGAGGGGGAACGCUUUAAAGCCUUUGGAGGACCCAACCUCAGAUGGCCACCGACGGGCCACCGGUGCCUCUGUGUUGUCACCCAUCAGUCACCGAGGAAGCCCAGCACUGAACUAGUGGAGCUGACAACUACAUCUCCUUCCACCAGUACAUUUAAUUCAGAAGAAAGGAAGUUCGAGUCCCUUGACCACUCCUUUUUCAUUGGUGUUCUGAAAUUUCCAUCCAAUUGCUGUUUGAAAAAGAAUUAAACACAAACCCCUAAACACUCAUCCCUUUAUUGUGUAAAGCAGCUCAGCCCUGCUCCCACCCCUAUAUCCAAAUUUACAUAUGCAUACAAUAUUCAGCUAAAAAAAAUUGAGGGAAAUGGUGCUGGGAAAAUUGGACAUCCACAUGCGAAGAAUGAAACUAGACCAAUCUCUUGCACCAUACACAAAGAUAAACUCAAAAUGGAUGAAAGAUCG